ensembl:lncRNA
AUGGCUCCCAACGACACUAAGGGAGUCUUCAAAGGAGGGCAAAUGGCCUUCAGAACAAGAGGGUCCAAGAUGACCAGUAAAUCUUCUUUGUUCCAGCUCCAGCAGAGAGGAGAUAAGAAAAAACUAUUUAUGGUCAUCAGGGAAGAGGAAGAAAUCCCUAGCUGGUCACCAAGAGCUGAAGUAAAGUCUUCCCAGAACAGAGUCUGUGAAGAUACGGCAGACGUGUUUGAGUUUCAGAUGAUCAGCAGUGCAGGCCCCGACCGAGCGAUUUGCCGCUGUCUUUGCGUCUACGCCUAUCUUCACCUCAGACCGGUUCUCCCUCUACAUCAAGUCACUGAAUAG